UCUGGACUUUAUAAACUACAGUCAACAGGCAGCAGUGAAAAAAUCUUCAAUGUUACUGUCAAUGAUGUUCCUGCUGCUGAACUACAUGAAAUUAAGAGAAAGUCAGUGAAAGAGGGACAAUCUGUCACUUUAGAUCCUGAUAUAGUAAAAAAUCCAAAUUAUACAAUGAAAUGGUAUUUUAAUGACAUUCUCAUUGCUGAAAUCACUGGAGAUCAGAGUAAGAUCUGUACAGAUAUUCAGUGUAAACAGAGAUUCAGAGACAGACUGAAGCUGGAUCAUCAGACUGGAUCUCUGACCAUCACAAAAACCAGAACCACAGACUCUGGAGAUUAUAAACUACAGAUCAUCAGCAGCAGAUUCAGCAUUGUUAGGAAUUUCGGGAUCACUGCUACUAUCGAUGUGUCAGGGUUGUCUGGAGGUGCUAUAGCAGGAAUCAUUAUUGCUUGUGUUGUGCUGAAUGCUGUGUGUAGUGGUUUCAGUUCUCUGUUGUUCCAGCGAUAUUAAUGAUAAUGAUGUGCUAGCCACCUGAUCCAAAUAUUAUUGCUUUGAGGAGGAGGAACUGGCUGUUUAUCUUAGGUUAUUUUGAAAGUAAAUGCAUCCUAAUUUAAGAAUGUUUCUGGAUCAGCUGUGAAUAGCAUGGCUUUUGAUAUGUUGAGCUAAACCAGAACCAAUCAGAACCAUCAUUCUUUAAUGAGCUUGAAAAUACAUUGAUUUAUUUUGAAGUUGGUGAAACACUUUACUGACAGUAGUUAUCAUGUUCAGUGCCUUUAACUGGAUGUAUUAACAAUAAAUGCUAUGUUAAAUGUUGAUUGCUAUUGUUUGGUUCGCCAU